CCACACCGGGAGAGUUUCCAUGGAUUGUCUAUCUUUUGCAAACAAAAUAUAUGUUAGGAAUUUUCAAGUUAGACAGCUUUGAUUGUACGGGUAUUAUACUAAACACCAAAUGGAUUAUAACGGCUGCCCAUUGUAUUAAACCCGAUCUAAGUCUAACUGUUAGCACUGUCCAAAAUUGGCGACUACCUGGCCAUACCUAUCGUGCAGACAAAUGGUUUAUACAUCCAAACUAUUCG